AGAACGAACGCUGGCGGCAGGCUUAACACAUGCAAGUCGAACGCGUGUAGCAAUACACGAGUGGCGCACGGGUGAGUAACGCGUGGAUAUCUGCCUUUUGGUUCGGAAUAACCCCGGGAAACUGGGGCUAAUACCGGAUGGUUCCUACGGGAUAAAGAUUUAUCGCCAAAAGAUGAGUCCGCGUCCGAUUAGCUAGUUGGUGGGGUAAUGGCCUACCAAGGCGACGAUCGGUAGCUGGUCUGAGAGGACGAUCAGCCACACUGGGACUGAGACACGGCCCAGACUCCUACGGGAGGCAGCAGUGGGGAAUAUUGGACAAUGGGGGCAACCCUGAUCCAGCCAUGCCGCGUGAGUGAUGAAGGCCUUCGGGUUGUAAAGCUCUUUUGGCGGGGACGAUGAUGACGGUACCGCAGAAUAAGCCCCGGCUAACUUCGUGCCAGCAGCCGC
rnacentral:rRNA from 1 species